rnacentral:rRNA from 1 species
UACGUAGGGGGCAAGCGUUAUCCGGAUUUACUGGGUGUAAAGGGAGCGUAGGCGGUGCAGCAAGUCAGAAGUGAAAGCCCGGGGCUCAACUCCGGGACUGCUUUUGAAACUGUUGAACUAGAUUGCAGGAGAGGUAAGUGGAAUUCCUAGUGUAGCGGUGAAAUGCGUAGAUAUUAGGAGGAACACCAGUGGCGAAGGUGGCUUACUGGACUGUAAAUGACGCUGAGGCUCGAAAGCGUGGGGAGCAAACAGG